rnacentral:rRNA from 1 species
AGCGAACGCUGGCGGCAGGCCUAACACAUGCAAGUCGAACGGACCCUUCGGGGUUAGUGGCGGACGGGUGAGUAACACGUGGGAACGUGCCCUUUGGUUCGGAAUAGCUCCUGGAAACGGGUGGUAAUGCCGAAUGUGCCCUUCGGGGGAAAGAUUUAUCGCCAUUGGAGCGGCCCGCGUCUGAUUAGCUAGUUGGUGAGGUAAAGGCUCACCAAGGCUACGAUCAGUAGCUGGUCUGAGAGGAUGAUCAGCCACAUUGGGACUGAGACACGGCCCAAACUCCUACGGGAGGCAGCAGUGGGGAAUCUUGCGCAAUGGGCGAAAGCCUGACGCAGCCAUGCCGCGUGAAUGAUGAAGGUCUUAGGAUUGUAAAAUUCUUUCACCGGGGACGAUAAUGACGGUACCCGGAGAAGAAGCCCCGGCUAACUUCGUGCCAGCCGCCGCCGUAACAC